CGGCGGACAUGGCGGUGGAGUCCUGAGCUCGUCGUGUCCCGGCCUCCAGCGGCGGCGGCAGUGACGGCGGCGGCGGCGGGAGGCGGCGGGGGGAGCGGGAGCCACUGGGAUGAGGAGGCGCCGCGCGCGCCUGUAGCUCGCGGGCUUCGCAGUUUGUUUGCCUAAUCUGGACUUGAAGCAAUUCAUCUGCUGGAAAUCUGCCAUUUUACAGUGCCACAAUUGGAAAGAAGCAGGUUUUCAAAUAAUGGAAGACUCUAAGGCCUCAAAAAAUGAAAAUCAUGAACCAAAGAAGAAUGCUUGGGCUAUAUCUAAUCAAACUUUGAAAACUAGAAAUGAUAAAUCCAUAAAAGAAAUUGGGACCAGCUCUCCAAAUAAGAAUAGUAGCAAAAAAAAUAAGCAAAAUGAUAUUUGUAUAGAAAAAACAGAAGCUAAAUCAUGUAAAGUAAAUGCUGCCAACGUAGCAAGCCCUAAAGAUUUAGGAUUAGUCCUUCGAGAUCAAAGUCAUUGCAAAACAAAAAAAUCACCUAAUUCACCGGUGAAAGCGGAAAAGAUACCUGUUUCACAGGCAAAAGCAGAAAAAUCACCAAAGUCCCCUAAUUCACCAGUGAAAACAGAAAAGACACCCAGCUCACAGGCAACAGCAACAGAAAAGGCACUUAGUUCACAGAGGAAAACAGAAAAAGUACCCAGUUCUCAGAUGAAAUCAGAAAAGGUCGUUGGUUCACCAGUAGAACCAGAGAAGGUGCCCAGUUUACUGUCGAAGGAGAACAUCAGACGGACAGAAUUACAGCAAAUUGGGAAAAAAAUUCCAAGCUCUUUUACUUCUCUGGACAAAGUGAAUAUUGAUGUUGUAGAGGGAGGAAAAUCUGCUUUAGAAAACUCACCACUAUCUCAGAAGCAACAAGCAUGUGCGGAUAAUACUGGUGAUUCUGAUGAUAGUGCUUCAGGAAUUGAAGACAUAGCAGAUGAUUUGAGUAAAAUGAAGAAUGAUGACUCUAAUAAAGAAAACUCUUCAGAGAUGGACUAUUUAGAAAAUGCUACUGUGAUAGAUGAAUCUGCAUUGACACCUGAGCAGAGGCUAGGCUUGAAACAAGCAGAAGAACGCUUAGAAAGAGAUCACAUCUUUCGACUUGAAAAACGUUCACCAGAAUAUACCAAUUGCCGGUAUCUAUGCAAACUUUGCUUAAUUCACAUUGAAAACAUCCAGGGAGCUCAUAAACAUAUAAAGGAGAAACGACAUAAGAAAAAUAUUUUGGAAAAACAAGAAGAAAGUGAGCUUCGUUCUCUGCCACCUCCUACCCCUGCCCACUUGGCUGCUUUAAGUGUUGCGGUUAUUGAAUUAGCAAAAGAACACGGAAUCACAGAUGAUGACCUCAGAGUCCGUCAGGAAAUUGUGGAGGAAAUGUCAAAGGUUAUAACAACAUUUUUACCAGAGUGUUCACUUAGGUUGUAUGGCUCAUCUCUUACUAAAUUUGCUCUGAAAAAUAGUGAUGUUAAUAUAGAUAUAAAAUUUCCUCCCAGGAUGAAUCAUCCAGAUCUUCUGAUACAAGUGCUUGGGAUUUUAAAAAAAAGUGUAUUAUAUAUAGAUGUGGAAUCUGAUUUUCACGCCAAAGUUCCUGUUGUGGUAUGCAAAGAUCGGAAAAGUGGUUUGCUCUGUAGAGUGAGUGCUGGAAAUGAUAUGGCAUGCCUCACUACUGAUUUACUUGCUGCCCUUGGCAAGAUGGAACCCGUCUUCACUCCCUUGGUGUUAGCCUUUCGCUACUGGGCUAAGUUAUGCUAUAUUGACUCCCAAACUGAUGGUGGAAUCCCUUCUUACUGUUUUGCUUUAAUGGUGUUGUUUUUUCUACAACAAAGAAAACCUCCUCUUCUUCCUUGCUUACUUGGAAGUUGGAUUGAAGGCUUUGACCCAAAAAGAAUGGAUGACUUUCAGCUGAAGGGCAUAGUAGAAGAGAAGUUUGUGAAGUGGGAAUAUAAUUCAAGUAGUGCAACUGAGAAAAACUCAAUUGCUGAGGAAAACAAAGCUAAGGCAGACCAACCAAAAGAUGAUACCAAGAAGACAGAAACAGACAACCAAAGUAAUGCCAUGAAGGAAAAACAUGGCAAAUCUCCUUUAACAUUGGGAACACCAAAUCAGGUAUCCCUGGGACAGUUAUGGUUAGAGCUGCUAAAAUUUUAUACAUUGGAUUUUGCUUUGGAAGAAUAUGUCAUAUGUGUACGGAUACAAGAUAUUUUAACAAGAGAAAACAAAAACUGGCCUAAAAGACGAAUAGCUAUUGAAGAUCCAUUUUCAGUCAAGAGGAAUGUUGCACGGAGUUUAAACAGCCAGCUUGUUUAUGAAUAUGUUGUGGAGAGAUUCAGAGCAGCUUAUCGGUAUUUUGCCUGUCCUCAGAGGAAGGGUGGAAAUAAAUCUGUGGAUUCCAUGAAAAAAGAGAAGGGGAAAAUAAGCAAUAAGAAAUCAGUGAAGUCUGACAAUAUGGCAUCCAAUUGUUGCAUUCUACUUGGAGAAAGCACAGAAAAAAUAAAUACAGGAAGAGGUCAGCCUGAUAAAUAUGAUGAAAUGGAAUGUACAUCACAGAGAUGUAUUACUGAAGAUGACAGUUUGUUGGUAAAUGAACUAGCUUUGGCUGAACUUGGACGGGAGUCUUCCUGUCUUUCUACCAGUAAAGGCAGUGAAUUAGAGCCAAAAUCAAUUAGGAAACAAGAUGAUUUAGCACCUUCAGAAACUUGUUUAAAAAAGGAACUCAGCCAGUGUAAUUGCAUUGAUUAUAAAUCCCCUGACCCAAGUGAAUCUGCUGGUACAGACUGCAGGUCAAAUACAGAAACAGAAAGUUCACAUCAGAUUGUGAGCACUGACACAUCUGCUACCUCUUGCAACUGCAAAGCUACAGAAGAUGCUUCUGACCUUGAUGAUGAUGAUAACCACCCCACCCAGGAAUUAUAUUAUGUGUUUGAUAAGUUUAUUUUAACCUCUGGCAAGCCACCAACGAUAGUAUGCAGCAUCUGCAAAAAAGAUGGCCAUUCAAAAAAUGAUUGUCCAGAGGAUUUCAGGAAAAUUGAUCUAAAACCUCUACCACCAAUGACCAAUCGAUUUCGGGAAAUACUUGAUUUAGUAUGUAAAAGAUGUUUUGAUGAGUUAUCACCACCCUUUUCUGAACAACACAACAGGGAGCAAAUUUUAAUUGGCUUGGAAAAGUUUAUUCAAAAAGAAUAUGAUGAAAAAGCAAGAUUGUGCUUAUUUGGCUCUUCUAAAAAUGGAUUUGGAUUUCGUGAUAGUGAUCUGGAUAUUUGUAUGACCCUGGAAGGCCAUGAAAAUGCAGAGAAAUUAAACUGUAAGGAAAUAAUUGAAAAUUUGGCAAAAAUUCUUAAGAGACAUCCAGGUUUAAGAAACAUUUUGCCUAUAACUACUGCCAAAGUGCCUAUAGUAAAAUUUGAACAUAGACGAAGUGGUUUAGAAGGUGAUAUCAGUUUAUAUAAUACAUUGGCUCAACAUAACACAAGAAUGUUAGCUACUUAUGCAGCUAUUGAUCCUAGAGUACAGUACUUGGGAUAUACUAUGAAAGUGUUUGCAAAGCGAUGUGACAUUGGAGAUGCUUCCAGGGGAAGUUUAUCUUCAUAUGCUUAUAUCCUUAUGGUGCUGUACUUUCUACAGCAAAGGAAACCACCUGUUAUCCCAGUUCUACAAGAGAUCUUUGAUGGAAAACAGAUUCCACAGAGAAUGGUUGAUGGAUGGAAUGCAUUUUUCUUUGAUAAAACAGAAGAACUGAAAAAGCGUUUACCUUCACUUGGAAAGAACACAGAAACCUUAGGAGAGCUUUGGUUGGGACUGCUUCGCUUCUAUACUGAAGAGUUUGAUUUUAAGGAAUAUGUAAUUAGCAUUCGGCAGAAAAAACUGUUGACAACUUUUGAAAAGCAGUGGACCUCCAAAUGCAUUGCAAUUGAAGAUCCUUUUGACUUGAAUCAUAACCUUGGUGCUGGAGUAUCUAGAAAAAUGACCAAUUUUAUCAUGAAGGCAUUUAUCAAUGGAAGGAAACUUUUUGGUACCCCUUUUUAUCCACUCAUUGGCAGAGAAGCUGAAUACUUCUUUGAUUCCCGAGUGCUAACAGAUGGAGAACUGGCUCCCAAUGAUCGAUGUUGUCGUGUGUGUGGAAAAAUAGGCCACUACAUGAAAGACUGCCCUAAAAGGAGAAGCAGUUUACUGUUUAGACUAAAGAAGAAAGACAGUGAAGAAGAGAAGGAUGGAAAUGAAGAGGAGAAGGAUUCACGAGACCUUGUUGACCCCCGAGACCUCCAUGACAGUCGAGAGUUUAGAGACCCCAGAGACCUCAGAUGCUUUAUAUGUGGAGAUGCAGGACAUGUACGAAGAGAGUGCCCAGAGGUCAAGCUGGCCCGUCAGAGGAACAGCAGUGUGGCAGCAGCCCAGCUGGUCCGCAACCUUGUAAAUGCCCAACAAGUGGCUGGUUCUGCUCAGCAACAAGGUGAUCAGUCCAUAAGGACUAGACAGUCCUCAGAAUGUUCUGAUUCACCAUCUUAUUCUCCUCAGCCCCAGCCAUUUCCACAGAACUCUUCCCAAUCAGCUGCCAUUACCCAGUCUCCAUCCCAGCCAGGAUCCCAACCCAAGCUUGGCCCACCUCAGCAGGGAACCCAGACCCCCCAUCAGGUCCAGAUGCCUAUGUAUAACUUUCCCCAGUCACCACCAGCUCAGUAUUCUCCCAUGCACAAUAUGGGAUUGUUGCCAAUGCACCCUCUCCAGAUCCCUGCCCCAUCCUGGCCUAUCCACGGCCCAGUGAUCCACUCUGCACCAGGCAGUGCCCCCAGCAAUAUUACCCUGAACGAUCCCAGCAUCAUCUUUGCACAGCCUGCUGCCAGACCUGUGGCGAUCCCUAACUCCUCUCAUGAUGGACACUGGCCUCGUACUGUGGCUCCAAAUUCCCUGGUGAACAAUGGUACAGUGGGGAAUUCGGAGCCAGGCUUUCCAGGACUAAAUCCUCCAAUUCCUUGGGAACAUGCACCACGUCCCCAUUUCCCUCUUGUCCCAGCUUCGUGGCCUUAUGGUUUGCAUCAAAACUUCAUGCAUCAGGGAAAUGCCAGAUUUCAGCCCAACAAACCGUUCUAUACUCAAGCUGGUCUACCGAUGCACAGCAACCAGCCAAUCCUGCUGUCUCAAGGGUAUCCGUACCUCAAUGUCAGUUACAUUCAGCAGAAAAAGUGACAUUUAAUGGAAAACAAAACAAAUCAGAUAUGCAUUACUUAAAUAGGAGACUACCUGGGCUUUUGGCAUAUUUUCCAGCUUGCAAGAUGCUUGAAAUCUAUUGCAGGAGGUUGAGGGCUUUCCUGCCAAAUUUGCAGCCCUGAAAAGAAUCGUUGAGGUGGGCAAGAUACCCGUUCUACAGCAGAAGAAGGCAUACAUCGUUCACCGGCAAAGCAGAGCUACUAAAAUCAGGAGCCAGAAUUCGAAGACUGCAAGGCUUGGAAGCCUUCUCGGAAGAACUAAGGUUUCUAUUAGGACCCGAACGUGGAAAUAACUGCACAUCGUGCAGAUUUAUUUUUUUUAUUUAUUUAUUUUUAUCGUGCAGAUUUAGAGAACGAAAGACCAGGAACUGGGCUUCAGGUAUGUUAAGGUUCCUUUAAGGACUUCAGAGUCUCCGAGUUUAAGAGGGUUUGAGAACUCGGGAGAUUAUCGUUAAAUAUGAAUAGACGCAGAGAACCCAACAGACACCCUCAGAAUCAGGCCGCAGCAGACUCACACGUGUCCCCAAAGCCCAACCAACAUCGAUCCAGGCACACAGCAGGUGCUAGAUUUUUCUGUGUGACUGACAGACUCCGCUCCAGUCUCCCGCCGGGGCCGGUACCCCGCGCCCCGUCCGCGGAACGGGGCCACCAGGGUGGAGGAGGGUCCGCGCGCGCCCGCUCACCCGUCAGCCCGAAGCACUCCUCUUUCCAGUACUUGGACUCGUAGAUUCGCGUCCGAAUGAUCUUCUCCACCAGAUACUGAGGAUUGGUGCCGUGGAUGCUGUGCGCAUCCUUCACCGUACGGUUCGCCAUCUUAGGACGCCUUCAGUUCUACUUCCGUCGGGUCCUUUAAUGCGUCACAUCCAGGUUAAGGCGAACCGGAGAGAGACCAAGAAAGGCGGAGGGAGCCUAAGCAACUCAGACCACCAUCUGGAAGCGGAAAUGCUUCGAAGGAAAGAACUUCCUUCCGCCAGCAGCGUCGCCCACCGAAUCAAUGAUGGCCGCGGCACGUUGGCGGACGUACGGCGCGCGCCUCGCGUAGGUGGGCGGGGCUAGAGGGCUGGCUGGUGACGCAACGUGGGGCAGCCUGGGGGCGGGGCCAUGGCUUUUGGCGCGAAAUUUUCUUUUCUCCACCUUGCCUAGCGAGGUUCAUUUUCAACCUGCUUGGGCUCCGGUGCGGCGCGUGGCUUUGAGAGCAGUCCAGCUGGCGCAGGCUGGAGUCGCUGCGGCCCGACGAACUCCCGGAGCGGAGACGGUGGGAGCGGAGGGCUUCGGUGCCCGG